GACGAACGCUGGCGGCGUGCUUAACACAUGCAAGUCGAACGGUGAAGCGCCUUCCUUUUUGGUGGGUGUGGAUGAGUGGCGAACGGGUGAGUAACACGUGAGUAACCUGCCCCCUUCUUCUGGAUAACCGCAUGAAAGUGUGGCUAAUACGGGAUAUUCUGGGUCUGUCGCAUGAUGGGUCUGGGGAAGAUAUUGUUUCGGUGGGGGAUGGGCUCGCGGCCUAUCAGCUUGUUGGUGGGGUGAUGGCCUACCAAGGCGGUGACGGGUAGCCGGCCUGAGAGGGUGGACGGGCGCAGUGGGACUGCGACACGGACCCGACUCCUACGGGAGGCAGCAGUGGGGAAUAUUGCACGAUGGGGGGAUGGCUGCUGCCGCGGCGCGGCGUGAGAGAUGGAGUCGUUCGGGUUGUGAACCUCUCUCGCCAGUGAAGCAGGCCUGCCUUGUUUGUGGGUGGGUUGACGGUAGCUGGAAAAGAAGCGCCGGCUAACUACGUG
rnacentral:rRNA from 1 species